GGAUGUGACAAAAGCGACACAGAACAGGAAAGGAAAACCAACAAGUGUGAUAAAUUCUGUGGUAGCACUUGAAUUAGGAUCUCUACUAGAACUGAAACACUAAGACGAAUUCCACUGCACUCUCCUCCACACACACUGGUAGUGACACAUCAAUACCAGAGCAAUACAGAAAGCGGAAUUACCACUUAUAACAUCACCAAUUGUCACGUGUUCUGAAUCUGAAGCACAGUUCAUGACACAAUCUCUGAAAAUUCUUCACAAGUACUGAAUGAAAAGGUGUUGGGUAUAUUAAGAGACUACAAAUAAACUGUCCAUCACGUGGGACUUCUCAGGUAAAAUGGAGUUGUUCUGAAAUGUAGAUAUUUUUUAUUCUUUAACAGGACCUUAUUUUGCCUUUUAUGUA
rnacentral:lncRNA from 1 species